rnacentral:rRNA from 1 species
CCUACGGGUGGCAGCAGUGGGGAAUAUUGCACAAUGGGGGAAACCCUGAUGCAGCGACGCCGCGUGAAGGAAGAAGUAUUUCGGUAUGUAAACUUCUAUCAGCAGGGAAGAAAAUGACGGUACCUGACUAAGAAGCCCCGGCUAACUACGUGCCAGCAGCCGCGGUAAUACGUAGGGUGCGAGCGUUAAUCGGAAUUACUGGGCGUAAAGCGCUCGUAGGCGGUAUGUCAAGUCAAGGGUGAAAUCCCCGCGCUCAACGUGGGAACUGCCUUUGAAACUGGCAAACUGGAGUGUGGGAGGGGGUAGUGGAAUUCCAGGUGUAGGAGUGAAAUCCGUAGAUAUCGGGAGGAACAUCAGUGGCGAAGGCGACUAUCUGGACCAUAACUGACGCUGAGGAGCGAAAGCGUGGGUAGCAAACAGGAUUAGAUACCCUUGUAGUC